rnacentral:misc_RNA from 1 species
GAAUGAUAGAGUAUUUAUAAAGGUUGCCUAUCCCUUGUAAUAUUCUUUAUUUUUGUAUGCUGUAAUAAUCAGAUUCUCAUUAUUUGCUCAAAGUAGUUGGCAAUGCAUUUUGGGAUGAAGGCUUAGUUAAGCUGAGUUGAGUUGGCAAUGCAUAAACAAAAUCCUUUCUAUUGCUGUGUGUUAGAUGUUCUGAAUCUCAUGUCAAGUCAUUGUGACAGUAUAAUAAAACGGUAUUUUUAUUAUUAUUAUUAUUAU